AUGAGCCCAGCAGACUCCAUGCAAGACUGAUAAGAUAAAGUGUGCCAGGGGGGCACACUUUGUAUUGAUCUGCAUUGUUUCACAAUGGUAUAUAUAUGCCUGGAAGCUAGUUGUGUGCCUGGUGCAGAUGCUUCUACUAAGGCUCCUCAUACAAUAGACCUACAGGUCCAGGAAAAGAAAACACCCCACAUCUCCUGGUGACUUGUCCCUGCUUUCAUAUACCUAAUACAGCAAUUCAUCCAAAAGAUCUACAAGAAUAUCUACACUCAGAACCCAUAGGACAAGAAAAUAGAGACCUUUAAUACGACGUCUCUGAUGCGGAAGGCCAGUCCCUUACUCAUAUACUGCUUAGAUGUGGAGCAAAAUAAAUGCUUUUUGUAGUAUAUAUUUCCAGUAACAUAAUGCAUUUGCUCUUCUUUUUCAUGAGUCUACCCCUUCUACAGGAAUCCAUUAAAUACUUCUGAUUCCAGCAAUGUGAGGUUGUGGAAGAAUUAUUGGCUUGAUUUUCACUCUCCAUGCUGUGUGCAUGCCCAGAACACUGAGCAGUUCCAGUUGGGAUGCAAGAGCUGAACUAAGGCACCUUGUGAUCUGUACAGUUUAAUCUGACUUUCUCCUUUCUGUUGGACAAUGUAUUCAGUAAUGUUGGGGAUACUGUAACUGAGCUUAGAUAUAGAGAUCUGUGCAUCCACCUCUAACCUAUGAUCAUGCUGUAAAUAAAGGAUAUGGACUGUUUAUAGCAACAAUAUGGAGAAGACAAGUAUGAUGGCAAGAAGGUAGCUGGAGGAUGGCAUGAAAAUGUAGUAGCAGAGAUGCUUAAGAAGAUACAGCCAAAAAUGUUUAUUUUUAUUUGUGUCUGGAAUGAAGGGGGGAUGUCCACCCAAUCCAAUGGAGUGCAAAGGAUUUUCUACAAAGAAAAAAGUGGUGAACAACUCCACCACUAGCCUGCAGUAGUGCGCCACCUUUCAGGCUACAAUGGUUCUUUAGUAUCAGAGCAAAUAAAGGCUUAUAUGGAAGCAUUAUUUUUAACCAGCCCUUAUGCCAUGUUUCUAAGCUGUUGCUCACUGUAGUGCUAUAUUAGUUUUAAGUUCUGAAAAAACAAAAAUUGGAAAUUUUUAGAAAUACAAAAUCACUGUGUUUUGCACAAAACACUUCAAUGUACUUUCUCACCCACAAACGGUUUGGUACUUUCAUAAACUGUAAGCUGUAAUGACAAAUACAAUGGAAUAAUGCAUUUUACCUUUUGUUGGAUCAAAAAAAAAAAGUCCCUAAGCGUUUCCAAAAUGUGUCUCCAAGGGCUUCCCCUCACACCCAGAAAGCAUCCUGCGGCAUUCUACUAUACUGCUUGAUUAACAUACUGACAGUGGUUGUUUUUUUGCUCUGAAUUCUUAUAGCUUACCAGAGUCAGCCCUCCUCCAUCUCCUCAAUGUGCAAAAAAGUGUUCCAAGACAACAAAGGACAAGAUAUAUAGUUAAUGGCAAGCUUAAUCCAACACUUCAUUUUACUACUUGUUCCCAAAUAAAAUAUAUUGUUUGACUUAGUUUGCUUUUACAAAGAAGGCAUAUGGGCACCUUGAGCCUGGCAUAUGGAUUGCUUGUAUCUCAACAGCUUGUUUGUGUGCAUUAGGAACAAGUGUGCAUCUGUUAAACUUGACCAUAAAGUCACAAAAUGGGGCUGUUGUCAGUAAGAUUAGUGGGUCUGGUGUGUUAGGAGAAAAGGGACACAAAGUUGUUGGCUACAGGUAUUAUAUUAUCUGUAGGUAUACUAGCAGUGGGGACAUCUGCUACUUGUUGUGUAUUGCUGAAUAUUCGCUGAACAUAUGUCAUCACAAAUCACAGUAUCUAUUAAUAGUGCCUGUUCACAUUCUGGCCUGGGAACGGCACCACUCUCAGUAAAGGAAGCGCAACAGGUGUCUUGCCUGCACGUAAUGCACCUUUUCAGUCCUACUCUCCUUGGAUCCCACUCUAGUGGCAUCAAGAGUUUGUUCUCUAUUGUUUCUGGGGGAAAUUUUUGGAUGUGUAAAUAAAGACUGAGACCAUUUUGGAGAGUCCAGUGUCUUUCUCAUUCUCUUAUUGUCUCUGACAGCACAAGUGUUUAGCUGUGCACCCAAGGUGGCAUAUGGUCCCCACUCCACACUCUUUCCAGAAGGGCACCCAUGCUGCAUAGAGACAGCUUUUUUGAGAAUCUGUGCUCUAUUCUAUCUUAUUAUUUUACAGUUUAAGUGUGUGGGGGUGUGUUAUCUGCAAACUACCCUUCUCCAAAUUAAAGAGCACCAUGUGUUGAAAGCAGCAAGUAAGCAAGUGCCUGAUUGCAAAACCUGAUCAUAGCUGGCAGAUAAUACACAGGAUACAGUUCAGCUGGAUACCAUAUGUUUUCAAUAAAAUAAGACAAAUAGGACAGGGAGAUAUGGAUUGCAGUAAACCUGUAAACUGUGCAGGGCCACUCCUUGAAUAGGCCAUUUAAUGCCAAUUCUUUAGUGAAGAUGAACAGACAGGUGUGUGUAUAAACCUAACAGUUUUCUGCCUUAUAUAUUUUAUCAGGUUUGUGGUAAUUUUUUGCUUGCUAUGCUAACUAUGAGUAAACAUAAGCGUUAAGUCAUUAUGGAAAUACCAGAGUUAUCUGAGAGUAGUGUGAAGGUGAUUUAACAAUAAACUUGCCUUGUCUAGGAGCAGGUGAUACCUGCCCUAAGCCUGGUGAUUAAUGCUGUCCAGAGCACUCCACUUUGCAAUCUCUUGUAAUUAUUUAUUAAAUGAAAUCUAUUUAUUAUUAUUUUAGCAAACAGUGGUACCAGGUGGGGCUUUCUUCUCAUCUUCAGCUUUUGUUUGAAGGGUGAUUGAAGUGGGUAGUCCAGGCUUUGGAAACUCGCUCACCAGAUUUUUAGUCCAUCCAAUUGUUCAAGAAAAAAAAAAUCUGCCAAGGCUUGGCUAUUCAUUUUUUCAAUUGAUAUAAAUGCAAAAAAAAAAAGGCACAGAAAAUAAGAAAAGAAAGUAAAGUUCUGGCCAUACAGAGGAAUAAAGGCUUUUAUAACCAACUGUCCUUUCUCCCUUGAACUGUAGCCACUAAACAGAUGCCUCUAUUGGAAAGGUGGAUGCUGUCCCAGUCAUUCCUGAGCUACUUGGAAAUACAUGGAACUUAUGGAGGUUACCUCAAAGGCACAUCACCUGCUGAAAGAACAUACUGAGAAGCUCUUGGAAGGAGCUGUUUCAGCACC